UCCCUUCAGUGUGAAGCUACAAUAUUCAUAGUCAUAAAAAUAACGAAAACUCUUUGAAUGACAAGAUGUGUCCAAACCUUUGGUCUGUUACUGUAUGUUAGCUCAAAAAAUCUCCAGAAGUAACUUAUAGCAUCGGCCUCAAACCUAAACUGUUAUUUCAGUCUGACUUUAAAACCUUUAUCUUGCUUUCUUGAUGCUAAAAGGGAAAUAUAUAUAUUUCCCUCACUUUUCAUUCUAAGAGAGAGCACUAGCCAGCCUAAGCUCUCUGUCAGUGCUCAAAGUUAUUAUCAGAGGGAAUAAAGAAACCAUUUUUCUGGAGCGGGAGAGAAAUUCUCACAGUGAUAUAUCACCGCCUUGGAUUCGGGGGAAGACAGACUGUCAGUAAAAUAUGUGAUGAUGCGUUAAACUUUAAGGACCUCUUGGGAACCGCAGAAGACAAAGUGAAUAACAAAUGUAUGUGUUAUUAUUUGCAGCUAUGAUGACCUCAACCAAAAACUGUACCUCUGAGAUAGAGCAAAUAAGUAGGUCGGGAAUGAUUUACAAAUGUUUAGUUAAAACAUUGGCUAUAGUAAAUAAUAUGUCAACAGCUCUCUGUAUAACACAGAUGUAUUAACCUUGAUAAAUAUAACAAUGAAAUUACUGAAUAUAACUUUCGUAUGUUAGAAUCAUUAAGAUUUUUCCCUCUAGCAAUCUUUAAACUUCACUGGAAAUCCAAAGUACUGCUUACUGAACAUAAAGAAGGAAAAUAAUUUUCAGUGAAAUUAUGAAGCCAAACUGUAAUUAACAUUAUGAAGCCUUAUGCAAGCAAUUAUUGACAGAAAACUCAGAUUUUAAAAGAAGUUAAGCUGUAUAUUGCAUUUUGUUAACAAAGUAAAAUCUGAACAAUGUGUUUUUAAUUUUAUCUGUAUCACAUUUGACAAUAGACCUUUGUGGUCAUGCAAUCAUCAUAGCUAAACAGUUCAGAUUUUUCUUGUUUAUUUUACUGUUUUAUAGGGGAUAUGUAAAAUAUGUUUUGCAGCAUUACUCAAUCUGGGGUUUUGACAAAAGCAACUUUGAGAAAGAAAAAGAAAUCUCACAAAUACAAAAAUAUUACAAUGAUACAUUUCCUGUCACAGAUUAAAUGUUAUAUGUAACUUAAGGUAAAACAUUGCUUAUUUUUAAAAAGUAAAAAAAAACCUGCAUUUAUAGUAAAGAUUUAACAAAAACACAAUAUUGUUUCAUCAUACUGAGGCAUGAUGAACAUCUGAGUCUUUUAUGUCCAAACGGUGAACAAAUUAGUCAACAACUAGGACACAAAGAAACAAGUUUCAAGGUGAUUUGUUGCAUUGAGUGUAGUCUCCCUUAGAUAGAGAUUCGCAGAGCAAAGAUCAGCUGCAAGAGGUUUAGAAUAUAACUCUGACGAUCCACAUCUCAUAAUGGAUGCUAAGGUGGAUCCUAAGGAUGAAGCAAACUGUGACGAGGAUACUGAUCACCUUCAGAACCUAAACUGGAAUUAAUCUAUUUAUAUUCCUCAUCAAAGUUUUACAUUUUUAUGUAUCGGUGAAUGUUUGUCACUUAACUUUAUUCUGCUGGUACAGCCUUAACUAGUUAUGUGACUCACUCACACUGAUACAGAAAACACAUAGCACCAACAUAUAGCAAUUUUGCGAGUUGUGCAUCACUGAAUCAUGCUGGUUUUCUAAAAAAUCUCCUCAUGAAGCCACUAUAACAAGCCUUGCUUUUUAUAUUAUAAAUAUUUACAAACCUAGUAUCGUGGUUCAUGUGCAGCCAUGGCACGGCAAGCUGAUUCUGCCUGCUUUAUUGGCAGUCAUGGCAGAUGAUGGGGGAGUUUUGCAGGUCCGAACAGGCAGUAUAGUUGGCACUUAAAUAUAAAAUCUGGCCAUCUCAGUCCAGUCUAUUGCCCUUUAUGACCUGCCCAUACCAUUUAUUUUAUUGCACGUUUAUCCAGAGAACAUACACAGUGUUCUCACGUAUGGCUCAGGAGUUUUAAUGCAGUCUUACAGAAUAGAAGUAAAGCAGAGAAAACUAGUCAUACUUUGAGAUCAAGUCGUACCUAGUAAUACUUUGUUCUGUAAAUUUACAAAUGUCUGAUGUCUCUAAGUGAUGUACAAUGUGGAAGCAGGUUUGUUGUAAAUUUUAUUCACUUAAUAAUAACAAAUAAUGAUUUACCAUAAAGUAGUAAAACAAUUAGAAAAAAAAAUAUCUGAAGCUUUUUUGCAGUUUUAGCAGUGUGGCUUAAAAAAAUGUUUCUUGACAUGGAUUUUUGUUCCCCCUUAAUAAAUAUACUUAAAUUGAAAGUUGGAUUUUUUUUUCCCAUUAGUGAAAUUACACUUCCGCAAUAACAGAUGAAAAUGUUUUGGGCCCCACUUUCAAUAAAAAUGUUAAAGUUAAAGUAAUCAGAGAUGAAAUACGUAGUAAUGCUCUCCUCUGUUCCAGCUGGAUUUAUAAACAAGCACUUAUUCCCUAACACAUUAACCAUAACUGAUUAAAGAUGAAAUAAUUUCUUGUUGAAUUAUAUAUGGCAGUAAAAGGCACUUAAAAUAAGCACAUUAAUAUCUGAUGAUAACUGCAGUAAACUGUUAAAUUGCUUGUCGGGGAGGCUGAGAUCCCCUCAGUGAUUCAUGUCUAACUGGGCACCAAACACCAGAACAGUGGUUUAAUUCCUCCAUGGUGCCUACAGCCAAAUACCCCUGGUGCUGUGCCACAUUUGGACACUUUCUCCCAAGACAUGCGGCUGAGGAUGGAGCGGCUGAGGAUGGAGCGAGUGCUUCUCCAGCUGCUGGAUUCCCAUGUGAGAGUGCGGAGAACACGUGGAGGGUUAGUCAGAGCUUGCCCUGGAUGAGCUGCGUGGAGGUCGGCCAAGCGGGCGUCAAGUGCUGGUUUACUUGCAGCGGAUUCCUGAGCAACAUUAUAUUAGUGAGUUUGUAAAUACACAUAUCAUAAGCUAGAGCCUGGUUACUUUUAGCCAUUGUGCGGCAACACUGAUUUUCAAUAAGAGACAGUUUAAUUCUACCCCGUCCGUGUAAAAAAUUGUUUUUUGUUUUUUUUACCAAAUACCACUGUAAUACCACUGUGGACCUGCUAUGACUAAAAUAUUAUGUUAAAGGUUAGGCAGAUAUUGGAUUCCACAGUGGAAAUGGUCACAGAAAAAAAAUGGCCUGGGUAAAUGAAUGUUCCAGGAAAACAAGCUUCUGGUCUCUUAAGAGGAAUGCACAUUGGGAGCGCCAUGGUGCAUCUUAUCAAAAAACACGUGUCAGCUGGCCUCUAUGACACACAUGUGACGUGUCAUGAUGAAGUGCUCUGUUACAACACAGAAUACUGGAAUGAGACUUGUGGAUAGUGUUAUCAGAACCAUCAAUGUUUCUACAGAGAACAGGAUUGAAAAGGAUCGCUUGGCGCAUUGCCUUGGAGCAUCGCCCACCAACCAAAAGCUGCCGGUUUUGUUUAAUCUGGUUGGUUAAAAGAAAACACCUACAUAAUUCUUUCAGACCUGGUGCAUCUUUACAAGGAAAACAUUGAAACAAAAUAAUUAAAAAUAAUACUCAGAAGCAGCUCUGGGAAGUCUGCAAAUAAAAGAAUGACUACAUGCCAUCUACCCACAGAGAGAGACGCUGAGAUAAGCGGGACGGAUUCGACUGAGAGAACCUGUUAUCAGGGAUGGCGCUAUGCUCUGACAUCAGGAUAAGCAUAUCUAUCAGCGUGCUGCCAAACAUCCCCAAGUGAGCUUGGCGGAGAACAAAGCCCGCAUCGUCUCUCACAGCUAAGCUUUGAACCAGGAAGCUGUGAGGGGCUGUCUCAGAUAAAUUGCCAAACAAAAAGAGUCGAAGUAAAACAAAGAAGCCGGUUGAUAUGGUCCACCAACACCUCAGCGGCCACGCCUGUCUAGGUGAGAUCUCCUCAAAAUCCAGUCUGAUCUGGAUUAUUGUUCUCUUACUACGAGAUCAGAGUAAUCUUUUUAUUAUUUAAGGUCACCAAAGAAAACACAGAAAAUUCUGUUACAUGAAAUAAAAUAUAUUUUCAAACCUUCAAAAAGUCCUGAAAGGCAGCCAUAGUUAAGUCACAUACAGUAACUAGCAAAGGUUUUCAUUCCCCUUGAAUUUUUUUCACAUUUUGUCCAAUCACACAUUUCAGUGUUUGAUUUGGGAUUUUGUGAAAGACCAGCACAAAGUGACACAUAAUUGUCAAGUGGAAGGACAACAACACAUGGUUUGCAAAUAAAAAUAUAAAAGAAUGUACAGAUAGAAACCCAGUGCAACCAAUUGCCUUCAGUAGUCACCUAAUUAGAACUCAGUCUACUUCUUGUUUAAUCUCAGUAGAAAUCAAGCUGUUCUGUGAAGGCCUCAGAGGGUUAUUAGAGAUCAUCUAGAAAACAAAGUUGAAUAAGUUGUGGAGAAGUUCAACAUAGUGUUAAAUGCAAUUUGGAAUCGGCGACAAAAACUUGAAAUUUUAUUUGUGUUUACUGACACUUUCCAUCCAAUCUGACUGAGCUUGAGCUGUUUUGCAUAUUUUACCUCCCCUUUUCCUUCAACUUCCAAAUUGCAGACCGUUUUAAAGUGCAUUAAAGUUUGUGGUUGGAACAUGGAAAACAUUUUGAAAAAGUUCAAGGCACUGCACAGCACCAUGCUAUGGAUUCUCUGGUUCCUACACCUUUUGUACCAGAAACACCACAGGCUAGUUAUUACUGACACAGUCUACAUAUCUCAUUACUUAGAGGUCAAAAACAAAAAACAGAAGCAAAACAAAAGCAGGAUGGAGCAGGCUUUUGGCACAUGCUGCAGGAGCAUAUUCAAUAUUUUGUUCAAGGCUUUGAGAAAAAAAACACAAAAAGAGCUGGCAGAACAAUUUCAAUCUGACAAAGUGUUGGUGGAUGAGUCAGUGAAUGAAUCACUGACGGUAUCACAAAACAAGGCGCAGCAUUUGAAGCGAAAUCCAGCCCUCAAAGGGAAGUUCAGCACUGGCAGUGAUGAAUUAUGGCCUCUCCGGUGCCUUCCAUAUGGUUCACCUCAAUAUCCUGUUCAUUAUGAUGUACUGAGUCCCAUCACUGGCAUUUCUGGGGUUUAUUUACAGCCGGGCCAAAUCGCAAAAUGACUCGAAGCCAAAAAGGACAUUGUGUAUACAAUAUUUGGUUUUGGAUUUGAAGGAUAAGAGUUGGUUCUAUAUGAGGACAUCUGUUUUUUUAUGCCUUUGGAACCUACCAGCUCAAGCCAGAAAACACUACUACAACAAUUACAAAAGAUCUCUGAAGUUACAACACACAGAAAGCGAAGGUGCGAGUCGACAGAAUGGGUGUGGAGUGCUCUGAGCCAGACAAGGCAGCUUGUCUUGCUUGCAAAGAGAAACAACUAUCUGUGUGAUCGCUCCACUCCACAUGCCGGAGUCUAAAGAAACCCCUGUUUUUAUUUCCAUAAAGCCACGUUCUGUCUUUUGUUCUGACGCAGAUAAGAUGUAUAAAUUAUGAGCAGCUGACAAAGUAUACAGGGGCGCCUCGGGCAGCUCAUCAGUCAUGCUCAGCCUGUCAGCAGGUAACUGAUGGGGGCCCUACAGGCACAAAGCCCCCUUUUUAAGCAAAGGAGAAGAAGGGGAGGGAGGUGGAGGAAUUAAAGCAGUUGUUGGAGUCCUGAGCACAACAGCUGACUCAUAUUUAACAGUCUCUUUAAAGAAGUGAGGCAGAUGCCAAGAGCUUCGGGCUUCACAGUGCCAUUUUGUGGUUCUCUCCUCAGGAGCGUAUGUCUAGCUGUUGUGCUCUGUCGAUGUUACACAAUGGCAGGCGAGCUGGAUGGAGGCACAAAAAGAGUCAUCCUGAGAGACCACCCAUGAGGAGAUGGAAAGGGGUCUGUGCUUGGGUGACCACAUGGUUGCGACAAUCUUCUGUUUAAACAAAACAUGCAAUGCUGAUCAGAAGUUUACAUACACUCUUCAUCAGCAUGAAUUUUAUAUAAACCUUUAACUUUUAAGGGUGCAUUUGAAGCAUUUUUUCAGGUUGGAAAUAUUAUACAUGAAGAACUUUAAUGAAUUCUAAAAAUUCAAAUCAGUUUAUUUAUAAAGCGCCAAUUCACAUGUUGUCUCAAGGCACUUCACAAAAGUCAGGUACAUA